UUUAUCACUUAUCAUAUCAUAUUAUAUAAUAUAUCUCAUGAAUAACAAAGUAGACUUUCAUUCACGUAUUUCACUAAAAGAACAUUACCCUAAAAAGCCUAAAGGUUUUGGUAUGGUGCGUAUAAAUUCAUUCCUUCAUCACCAAAGAGAGACGGAGACCAAACCUGCUUCAUCACCAAAGAGAGACAGAGACCACACCUGCUGGCUGCCCGUAUUUCACCCUUGCCAGAAAUCAAAAUUUGAUUUUUUAAAAAUUUUCUUCUUCUCUACAAGAAGCCAGUAUGUAUGUGUUUGAUGCAAAAUUUUUAAGUUUCCAAUGAAGGCUUUUGCUCUCUGAUAAGUAUAUGAAAAGAAACCAUCCCUGAAAGUCUGUCAAGGCAUGCAACAAAAGUUGCUUGGAUCUCAUGCAAUUGUUUUUUGAACUGAAAAGUUAGUACUUUUAUAGUGGCAGUUGUGAUUCUUGUGAAAUAAGAAGAAUGUAACCAUUACAACUAGUUGCAUUGCGGCCACUUAUCCAUUGCAUUUGUAACUGAAAUGUCCAUUUUGGCAUUUACAACUCAAAUAUUUGGAACUAUUCUGCAGUUUUGAAUUUUGAACUAUAAAAUUUGAAUUUUUUGAUA